CAGGCCGCUGGGAUCCCUUCGGGGUGAACUUGGCGCUGACGAGUGGCGGACGGGUGAGUAACGCAUAGGAAUCUGCCCAGUAGCGGGGGACAACCUGGUGAAAACCAGGCUAAUACCGCAUACGCCCUCCAUUCGAGAGUUUGGUGGGGAAAGCAGGGGAUCUUCGGACCUUGCACUAUUGGAUGAGCCUAUGUCUGAUUAGCUUGUUGGUAGGGUAAAGGCCUACCAAGGCGACGAUCAGUAGCUGGUCUGAGAGGACGAUCAGCCACACUGGGACUGAGACACGGCCCAGACUCCUACGGGAGGCAGCAGUGGGGAAUAUUGGACAAUGGGGGCAACCCUGAUCCAGCAAUGCCGCGUGUGUGAAGAAGGCCUGCGGGUUGUAAAGCACUUUCAGUAGAGAAGAAAAGUUCAGGGUUAAUACCCCUGGACCUUGACGUAACCUACAGAAGAAGCACCGGCUAAUUCCGUGCCAGCAGCCGCGGUAAUACGGGAGGUGCGAGCGUUAAUCGGAAUUACUGGGCGUAAAGCGCGCGUAGGCGGCGAGGUCAGUCGGAUGUGAAAGCCCCGGGCUCAACCUGGGAAUUGCAUUCGAUACUGCCUG
rnacentral:rRNA from 1 species